GAUGAACGCUGGCGGCGUGCCUAAUACAUGCAAGUCGAGCGAAUGGAUUAAGAGCUUGCUCUUAUGAAGUUAGCGGCGGACGGGUGAGUAACACGUGGGUAACCUGCCCAUAAGACUGGGAUAACUCCGGGAAACCGGGGCUAAUACUGGAUAACAUUUUGAACCGCAUGGUUCGAAAUUGAAAGGCGGCUUCGGCUGUCACUUAUGGAUGGACCCGCGUCGCAUUAGCUAGUUGGUGAGGUAACGGCUCACCAAGGCAACGAUGCGUAGCCGACCUGAGAGGGUGAUCGGCCACACUGGGACUGAGACACGGCCCAGACUCCUACGGGAGGCAGCAGUAGGGAAUCUUCCGCAAUGGACGAAAGUCUGACGGAGCAACGCCGCGUGAGUGAUGAAGGCUUUCGGGUCGUAAAACUCUGUUGUUAGGGAAGAACAAGUGCUAGUUGAAUAAGCUGACACCUUGACGGUACCUAACCAGAAAGCCACGGCUAACUACCUGCCAGCCGCCGCAGUAA
rnacentral:rRNA from 1 species